rnacentral:rRNA from 1 species
UGGGGAAUAUUGGACAAUGGGCGCAAGCCUGAUCCAGCCAUGCCGCGUGGAUGAUGAAGGCCCUAGGGUUGUAAAGUCCUUUCGACGGGGAAGAUAAUGACGGUACCCGUAGAAGAAGCCCCGGCUAACUUCGUGCCAGCAGCCGCGGUAAUACGAAGGGGGCUAGCGUUGCUCGGAAUCACUGGGCGUAAAGCGCACGUAGGCGGACUCUUAAGUCGGUGGUGAAAUCCUGGAACUCAACUCCAGAACUGCCUUCGAUACUGAGAGUCUCGAGUCCGAGAGAGGUGAGUGGAACUGCGAGUGUAGAGGUGAAAUUCGUAGAUAUUCGCAAGAACACCAGUGGCGAAGGCGGCUCACUGGCUCGGUACUGACGCUGAGGUGCGAAAGCGUGGGGAGCAAACAGGAUUAGAUACCCACGUAGUCCCUGAGCGGGCUGGCAAGGCGCAU